rnacentral:lncRNA from 12 species
UAUAAUACAGUACAACCGAGCCCGGAAGCCGUGAACGCGUGGCCACGGAAGACUUGUCCGUGAGUGUUUACCGUUGCUUCCUUUACAGGCAAAUACUGGAGACAACCCGAGUGCCCGUGAGUUGGUGAACAGAUCGCCAGACUGGAGGGUGUUGCUCAGCACUACAAAGGGAUGAACUGCUAGUAGGACAGCAGAGAGAAAUCCAAGAACAUUCGUAGGGAGAGAGAAGCCAGACACUGAAGAGCGUAUCCGUAGGAUUCCGUUCAUGGCACGUGGGGAACCAGCCUAAUCCACAGUGGCAGAGAGCACAGCAGUGGUCUUGUCUGCAUGCGGGGACCAGAGAGGUGAUGCACCCAGAUGACGGCAGUUCGGUGACACACAAGGAAUCAAAAUUCUUCUGACUCCGGAUCAUUCCUCCAGAGGUUGAAUUAAUUAAGAUCAUGGAGAUUUGCUGAAGCCUGUAAUUUGGGAGUUGGGGCUCAUCCUCCCUAGACGGCCAAUUCGGUGUUUUCUGGAGGAAGAUCCUAAGGCCUAUUGCUCUCGGGCGGCUUACGGGACAAGGAGCUGAGGGUCGCCGUCGGUCGUGAGGAAUGGGAUCCUACCAAAACCACAAGAGCAAGCUUGGAAGUGGAACCUUCCCCGCUUGAGCCUGAGACGGUCGUCGCCCUCCCUGCAUUAGGGAGAGAACCUGGGCCACUGAGGGAACUCAGCUAAGGGACGCCC